UCGGGGCGCGGGUCGGGUGGGUUUGGGCGCGGGUCUGGCGGGUCAGGGUGUGGGAUGGGCUGAUCUGGAAUUGCAUGUUAAUAUAUAAUAACUGUUUCUUUGUAAACUACAAAAUAGAGUUUGGUGCAGUGGUUGGAGAAAGUUUUCAUUUAUCAACCACCAGAGUUCGAAUCUUGUCUAUAACAUUUUUUUGUUUUUUUCCUUUUCUUCUGUUUUUUUUUUCUCUCUUUUUGCGUUAUUUUUUCUUUUUUUCUAUUUUGUUGUUUUUUUUGCUAUUUUUUUGCAUUGUUUCCGUUUUUCUAUUUUCAUUACAUUUUUUGUGUUUCUUAUUGCAUUUUGUUUCCUCUUUUUUUCUUCUUCUAUAAUUACGUUUAUACUGUAUUUUUUUUUCAUUUUUGUCAUAUCAAUGGUUACUUUUUAUUACAAUAAUAAUUACUUUACUAAAGUGUUUUAUUUAUUUUCUUUUAUUUUUUCGUUUAAUUUUUUAUUUUCAAAAAUUUUUAUACUCCCUCCGUCCCGGCCAAGACGCUACAUUUACCUUUCGGCACAGGAUUUAAGGAGUUGUAGAUUAAUGUUUUAAGUGUGUAAUAAUAAAGUGAUAAAGUAGGAGAGAGAAAGUGAUAAAGUAAGAAAGAGAAGGUAAUAAAGUGAUAAAGUAGGAGAGAGAAAGUGAUAAAGUAAGAAAGAGAAGAUAAUAAAGUGAUAAAGUAGGAGAGAGAAUGUAAUAAAGAAAUACUUAAUUAGUGUUAAUUAAGUGCUUAAAUUCCCUUAUUUUUUCCAAAUAUGGAAAUGUAGCACCUUUGUUGGGACGGCCCAAAAAGGAAUAUGUAGCAUCUUGAGCGGGACGGAGGGAGUAUAUUUUUUCUUUUUCAUUUAUUUUAUUUUAAAAAAAAUUACAUUUAUUCAUAUCAAUGGUUAUUUUUUCUAACAAC
rnacentral:lncRNA from 1 species